GAGUUUGAUCCUGGCUCAGAUUGAACGCUGGCGGCAUGCCUUACACAUGCAAGUCGAACGGCAGCACGGGAGCUUGCUCCUGGUGGCGAGUGGCGAACGGGUGAGUAAUGCAUCGGAACGUAUCCUGGAGUGGGGGAUAACGUAGCGAAAGUUACGCUAAUACCGCAUAUUCUGUGAGCAGGAAAGCGGGGGACCUUCGGGCCUCGCGCUCUUGGAGCGGCCGAUGUCGGAUUAGCUAGUUGGUGAGGUAAAGGCUCACCAAGGCGACGAUCCGUAGCAGGUCUGAGAGGAUGAUCUGCCACACUGGAACUGAGACACGGUCCAGACUCCUACGGGAGGCAGCAGUGGGAAUUUUGGACAGUGGGGGCAACCCUGAUCCAGCCAUGCCGCGUGAGUG
rnacentral:rRNA from 1 species